UACGGAGGGUGCAAGCGUUAUCCGGAUUUACUGGGUUUAAAGGGUGCGUAGGUGGGCAGGAAAGUCAGUGGUGAAGUCUCCGGGCUUAACCCGGAAACUGCCAUUGAUACUAUUUGUCUUGAAUACUUUGGAGGUAAGCGGAAUAUGUCAUGUAGCGGUGAAAUGCUUAGAUAUGACAUAGAACACCAAUUGCGAAGGCAGCUUACUACACAGUGAUUGACACUGAGGCACGAAAGCGUGGGGAUCAAACAGG
rnacentral:rRNA from 1 species